AUGAGAUUUACGUAUCGUAAACAUAUCUUUAUUUCGAUAUAAACACUCGAUACAGAUAAGUACUCACCUUUGACAUGAGAAGGUACAUCUUGUCAUGUAUUCAUUUUAUCUUACAUCUAUAUGCUUAUUCUCAAAUAUUUACUCACUACAGUAUUUCUCCAUAGUUCAUCCGUCGCUACAAUAUUACCUCAACUCUUGAGGGCUCGGGGAAUUGAGAAAGGCAGCUUGAAUCCUUUUGCAAUCAACCAAAUAAGUGAAACCAUAAGCUAAGUUCUUCAAUGUAGCAUCAUGCAGUUCUGCUGAGGAAGUUGCAGUUGCAUCUGUGGAAAAGAAGACUCUGAACCCUCUAAUAAAUGCCUCUCUGGCUGUGGUCUCACAGCACACAUUGGUCAUUACUCCAGUCACUAUUACCUCCUUUAUCCCCAUUUCCAACAGUUUCUCCUCUAAGUUUGUAUCUCUGAAGGCACUGUAAGUGUGUUUUUCGACCACCAAAUCACCGUCUCUCCGAUCUAACUCCGGUAUAAGUUCAGCUUCAACGGUUCCAUCUCUGAUAAUAUCACCGUUCCACCACUCGUACAUCAUGCCGUAAUCGUCCGGUGACUUAUGACAGUGGCGGCGGAAUUCCGUGCCGGUGAUAUUCAC
rnacentral:misc_RNA from 1 species